AUCUCUCCUCCACUGAGGAAACAUAUUCAUCUUCUCCAUCAAGUCUUCUUCACUAUGAUCAGAGUUCUGAUUCACCUGGCAGCUCUACCACUCUGGGUGACAGGGCAGUCGCAUAGCAGCAAAGUCCAUCAGACUCCUAUUGCAAUACUUAAAGGACCUAAAGAUAAUGUACAACUCACCUGCAACCAUACUAUUCAAAACUACGAUAUGAUACUAUGGUACCAGCAGUCAACAGGAGACACUGCUAUGAAACUCAUUGGUUAUGCAUAUGCGGAGUCAAUAACCAUGGAGAAAUCAUUUGAAAAGCAGUUCAAUGUGAAUGGAGAUGGUAGGAAAGAGGCGUAUCUUCACCUACUGAGUCUGAGAGCACCUGAAGACAGUGCAGUGUAUUACUGUGCAGCCAGCCAACACAGUGAUGUAGAGAACCUCCUCUCCUCUACAAAAACCCUGUCUGAUAGAAAACUAUGA